rnacentral:rRNA from 1 species
UUAAGUUAUUAAGGGCGCACGGUGGAUGCCUUGGCACUAGAAGCCGAUGAAGGACGUUACUAACGACGAUAUGCUUUGGGGAGCUGUAAGUAAGCUUUGAUCCAGAGAUUUCCGAAUGGGGAAACCCAGCAUGAGUUAUGUCAUGUUAUCGAUAUGUGAAUACAUAGCAUAUCAGAAGGCACACCCGGAGAACUGAAACAUCUUAGUACCCGGAGGAAGAGAAAGAAAAUUCGAUUCCCUUAGUAGCGGCGAGCGAAACGGGAAGAGCCCAAACCAACAAGCUUGCUUGUUGGGGUUGUAGGACACUCUAUACGGAGUUACAAAGGACGACAUUAGACGAAUCAUCUGGAAAGAUGAAUCAAAGAAGGUAAUAAUCCUGUAGUCGAAAAUGUUGUCUCUCUUGAGUGGAUCCUGAGUACGACGGAGCACGUGAAAUUCCGUCGGAAUCUGGGAGGACCAUCUCCUAAGGCUAAAUACUCUCUAGUGACCGAUAGUGAACCAGUACCGUGAGGGAAAGGUGAAAAGCACCCCGGAAGGGGAGUGAAAUAGAACCUGAAACCGUGUGCUUACAAGUAGUCAGAGCCCGUUAAUGGGUGAUGGCGUGCCUUUUGUAGAAUGAACCGGCGAGUUACGAUUUGAUGCAAGGUUAAGCAGUAAAUGUGGAGCCGUAGCGAAAGCGAGUCUGAAUAGGGCGUUUAGUAUUUGGUCGUAGACCCGAAACCAGGUGAUCUACCCUUGGUCAGGUUGAAGUUCAGGUAACACUGAAUGGAGGACCGAACCGACUUACGUUGAAAAGUGAGCGGAUGAACUGAGGGUAGCGGAGAAAUUCCAAUCGAACCUGGAGAUAGCUGGUUCUCUCCGAAAUAGCUUUAGGGCUAGCCUCAAGUGAUGAUUAUUGGAGGUAGAGCACUGUUUGGACGAGGGGCCCCUCUCGGGUUACCGAAUUCAGACAAACUCCGAAUGCCAAUUAAUUUAACUUGGGAGUCAGAACAUGGGUGAUAAGGUCCGUGUUCGAAAGGGAAACAGCCCAGACCACCAGCUAAGGUCCCAAAAUAUAUGUUAAGUGGAAAAGGAUGUGGCGUUGCCCAGACAACUAGGAUGUUGGCUUAGAAGCAGCCAUCAUUUAAAGAGUGCGUAAUAGCUCACUAGUCGAGUGACACUGCGCCGAAAAUGUACCGGGGCUAAACAUAUUACCGAAGCUGUGGAUUGUCCUUUGGACAAUGGUAGGAGAGCGUUCUAAGGGCGUUGAAGCAUGAUCGUAAGGACAUGUGGAGCGCUUAGAAGUGAGAAUGCCGGUGUGAGUAGCGAAAGACGGGUGAGAAUCCCGUCCACCGAUUGACUAAGGUUUCCAGAGGAAGGCUCGUCCGCUCUGGGUUAGUCGGGUCCUAAGCUGAGGCCGACAGGCGUAGGCGAUGGAUAACAGGUUGAUAUUCCUGUACCACCUAUAAUCGUUUUAAUCGAUGGGGGGACGCAGUAGGAUAGGCGAAGCGUGCGAUUGGAUUGCACGUCUAAGCAGUAAGGCUGAGUAUUAGGCAAAUCCGGUACUCGUUAAGGNUGAGCUGUGAUGGGGAGAAGACAUUGUGUCUUCGAGUCGUUGAUUUCACACUGCCGAGAAAAGCCUCUAGAUAGAAAAUAGGUGCCCGUACCGCAAACCGACACAGGUAGUCAAGAUGAGAAUUCUAAGGUGAGCGAGCGAACUCUCGUUAAGGAACUCGGCAAAAUGACCCCGUAACUUCGGGAGAAGGGGUGCUCUUUAGGGUUAACGCCCAGAAGAGCCGCAGUGAAUAGGCCCAAGCGACUGUUUAUCAAAAACACAGGUCUCUGCUAAACCGUAAGGUGAUGUAUAGGGGCUGACGCCUGCCCGGUGCUGGAAGGUUAAGAGGAGUGGUUAGCUUCUGCGAAGCUACGAAUCGAAGCCCCAGUAAACGGCGGCCGUAACUAUAACGGUCCUAAGGUAGCGAAAUUCCUUGUCGGGUAAGUUCCGACCCGCACGAAAGGCGUAACGAUUUGGGCACUGUCUCAACGAGAGACUCGGUGAAAUCAUAGUACCUGUGAAGAUGCAGGUUACCCGCGACAGGACGGAAAGACCCCGUGGAGCUUUACUGUAGCCUGAUAUUGAAAUUCGGCACAGCUUGUACAGGAUAGGUAGGAGCCUUUGAAACGUGAGCGCUAGCUUACGUGGAGGCGCUGGUGGGAUACUACCCUAGCUGUGUUGGCUUUCUAACCCGCACCACUUAUCGUGGUGGGAGACAGUGUCAGGCGGGCAGUUUGACUGGGGCGGUCGCCUCCUAAAAGGUAACGGAGGCGCUCAAAGGUUCCCUCAGAAUGGUUGGAAAUCAUUCAUAGAGUGUAAAGGCAUAAGGGAGCUUGACUGCGAGACCUACAAGUCGAGCAGGGUCGAAAGACGGACUUAGUGAUCCGGUGGUUCCGCAUGGAAGGGCCAUCGCUCAACGGAUAAAAGCUACCCCGGGGAUAACAGGCUUAUCUCCCCCAAGAGUUCACAUCGACGGGGAGGUUUGGCACCUCGAUGUCGGCUCAUCGCAUCCUGGGGCUGUAGUCGGUCCCAAGGGUUGGGCUGUUCGCCCAUUAAAGCGGUACGCGAGCUGGGUUCAGAACGUCGUGAGACAGUUCGGUCCCUAUCCGUCGUGGGCGUAGGAAAUUUGAGAGGAGCUGUCCUUAGUACGAGAGGACCGGGAUGGACAUACCUCUGGUGUACCAGUUGUCGUGCCAACGGCAUAGCUGGGUAGCUAUGUGUGGACGGGAUAAGUGCUGAAAGCAUCUAAGCAUGAAGCCCCCCUCAAGAUGAGAUUUCCCAACUUCGGUUAUAAGAUCCCUCAAAGAUGAUGAGGUUAAUAGGUUCGAGGUGGAAGCAUGGUGACAUGUGGAGCUGACGAAUACUAAUCGAUCGAAGACUUAAUCAA